UUUCCACGGUCUCCGUGACGCAGCUAACGCAUUAAGUUCCCCGCCUGGGGAGUACGGCCGCAAGGCUAAAACUCAAAGGAAUUGACGGGGACCCGCACAAGCGGCGGAGCAUGCGGAUUAAUUCGAUGCAACGCGAAGAACCUUACCAAGGCUUGACAUAUAGAGGAAAGGGCUGGAAACAGUCCCCCCGCAAGGUCUCUAUACAGGUGGUGCAUGGUUGUCGUCAGCUCGUGUCGUGAGAUGUUGGGUUAAGUCCCGCAACGAGCGCAACCCUCGUUCUAUGUUGCCAGCACGUAAUGGUGGGAACUCAUGGGCUACUGCCGGGGUCAACUCGGAGGAAGGUGGGGAUGACGUCAAAUCAUCAUGCCCCUUAUGUCUUGGGCUUCACGCAUGCUACAAUGGCCGGUACAAAGGGCUGCAAUACCGUGAGGUGGAGCGAAUCCCAAAAAGCCGGUCCCAGUUCGGAUUGAGGUCUGCAACUCGACCUCAUGAAGUCGGAGUCGCUAGUAAUCGCAGAUCAGCAACGCUGCGGUGAAUACGUUCCCGGGUCUUGUACACACCGCCCGUCAAGUCAUGAAAGUCGGUAACACCUGAAGCCGGUGGCCUAACCC
rnacentral:rRNA from 1 species